ensembl:lncRNA
GUCAGAUCUCACCAACGAGAAACGUCUGAUGAGUUCCUCUACUAAGAAAGGAAACUUUCUCGUGUUAAGGUGAAUUAUGGCUUCCAUCAGUGUGCCGAUAAAAGGAACGGAGUAUCAGCUUUCCACGUUCUCAGAGUCUACGGACAAAUGAACCCAAACUGCUGGGAGACGUCCUGCCAGACAGAGAUGAAUAGGACAGCCGGCGGGCACACACUGCUGGGCACGGACCCAGGCUCAGUGCUCAGAGGGACUACUGCUGACUCACCAGGUAGGAGAACAGAGCUCCCGAGGCGUGGGGUGAUGGAAGUCAGUCUGUUUGCUUAUUUAAUGCCAUGGGGGAUAGAAGACAUAGCAGCUUGGUUUCUUUCUUGAUUGUUUUUAGGAUUUUUGGGAUAUAAGGAGUGUGUUUUGAGGUUAAAGGAAAGGAUGGAGCAUCCUCUGGUUGUUUCACAGCCUGUUGUUGGAGCAUUGGACCCAUUGGAUGGACAUGUGUUGUCCUCUUGUGAAAUCCUAAACAAAAUGAACUGAAGGGAUUCAUCUGAGUGCAGCAGAACCGUGUCAGGGCUCAGGAUGGGAUUUCUGAGUUUCUUUAGUUUCAGUGGGAUUUCUUGAUCUUACCCAGCAGAUAUGAUGUUGCAAGGUGAGAUGUGGUGGUUUUCUCAAUAAAAGCCAUGUGUGUCUGUGCAGUGACUGCAGUGAUGUCUGUGCCUGCUGCUACCUGCCUAUCCCAAGGGGGUUUGGCUUGUGGUAAGCAGAGCUAUGGCUGCCCCAAGGGGAAUGCAGCAGGCAGACAUCUCCCAGUGUCUUACCCCACGUGCUCCUUUUGCACAGAUUUAUGGAAGCAAUAUGUUUGGACAUUUCGUAGCUAAUAUAGCAGAAUUGUUUCAGAGGAAAAAAAAAAACAAACAACUUAGUGUGGGUGAAUGGCAUGAACAAAAGCCCUGCUGCCAGAUGAGAAGUUGUAUUUAUUAUUUCUACAAGUUCUUUUCCCUUUGUUUCCUCUCCCUGUUAGAUGAGCUGGCUCUGCCCAGGGAUAGAUGGUACAGAUAUUCCUUUCCCCUCCUGCCCUGUGCUUUGGUGGCUGGUUGUGUGCUGGAGCUUGGUAGCUCAGGCGCUGCCCAGGGAUAGAUGGCUGAGCCAGGAGGCUGAAUCCCUCAGCUGAAGUGCAAGGCAUCAUAGUUCAAUCAAAAUCUCUGCAUCUUGGGUCCCUUCUUAUGACAGUAAAGAAGCAAAGAUUCAAGUAGAGGCAUGAGUGUAUUCUGCCAAUCUGAAUCUGGUUUUUUUUUUUUUUUUUGCUUUUGAAGAGCAGAAUCUGUAAAAACAAUAUAUUUUUUUUUUGCUAGAUUUUCAAGUGGUAGCAAGAUGCUCUUAUGUCAGGCUGGAUCUUAGCAACACUGUGUGGAAAGGAUCUGUACAACAGAAAGGAAUGUUUGAGGGCUUCCUUGCAUUCUGGUUGUGUGGGCAGCCUCUGGGGAUCCCAGCUGGGACAGAAAUCAGUGCCGCAGCCCCGUGCUCCUGGGAAGGUCCUUCCCAUUCCAUGGCCUUCCAAAAAUGGGCUCUUCUGAAGUGAAGGUUAUUCCAAUUUAAAUGUCAUUGGUUGGAUACGUUCAAUUACAGAUGAUUCUGUGGUUUUUCACAAAUAUAAAAGUUACCAUUACAGAUGAAGAAAACCUAGGACAGAAAGUUUACUGGUGCUUAUAAAGCAAGGGUGAAGGCUUCCAUUAGGUGGGAGAGGCCCUGGACACUCGGUGGUCUCAUGGGAUGAGGGUCCAGGUAAGGUGUUCAUCUGCUCUUGUAUGACAUGGAAACACUGAGUAUUUACUGUAAUUAAAAAAAAAAAAAAAAAAAUCAACAUCAUAAAGACUGGUUUGAGCCACUGAUACGAUUUUGCGUAAAAGCCUCAGGUAUGAUGGCACUUUUAAGUUUAUUUACUUUGGAAAGAGUCAUUGAGUUGUUCAUGCUGUGAUGCACUGCUUGAAAUCUUCCUUAAACUCCCAUGUCUGGGAGGACUGAAGGGAAGUGACUUGCUUACAUUCCUUCUUCCAAAAGCAGGAGCAGCGUUCCCUCUCCUUCAAACAGAAGGGCAUUUAUGGCUGAUAAUGUAUUUCAUUCCCCAAACCUUAAGAUUGGAGGCUGAAGUUUAAUUUUGAACUUGACAUUCUCUGAUUAAAAUUUAAAAUUUAAUAGAGCUCUGUAUGUGUCCAGCCAUAGAGAGAGUGGUACUCAACAUCCAGCUGGUCGCUCCAUCUGUUAGAGCAUACCCAUGUAACUGUUUGCAAGCCUGUGUGGGAAACAGCAAGGGUGGAUUUUUGUAGAAGAGGGGUCCUGAGAUGCAUUGUGGAAGCUGGUGAGGGUGCUGUCUGGACAGAAAGAACUUCUUGGUAUGGUUUAUGUACUUGAUCUACUGUGGUUUUCUGAUGAUAUAAAAGAUAAGACUGAACUGGGCCUCCU